rnacentral:RNase_P_RNA from 1 species
GCACGGGUAAGACCCGUGGCAACGGCACAGAAACGACACGUCCACCGGCGGAUGGCGAUGAAGGGGUGAAGGCCCGCGGGCAACCGUGGGCCAGCUAACCCCCCGAGGACGCUGGUGGGAGCGGUGAAACGGCCGCCCUCCGGGGAGCAAGGCGGCGCGCCGAUGAGGGCCGCGCGAGUGGCGCGCCGAAAGCCGCUUAGUCAAAUGCGGCCGAAGGUACAGAAGGCGGGUUAUAGCCGGCGUC